ensembl:ncRNA Y38H6C.26 ncRNA
UGAGUACAUAAACAUGGGAAACUGAUAUCGAGUUGUCUGUGUGUGGGGGUGG